AAAAGGAAAGAAUCUGUGCAACUCGAAAUCGUUAUCGUACGUCCAUGUCUUUUCUCCGGCCACCGAAACGAUGCCAUCUGUUUUGUGCGUCUUCUUCUUUAUAAACCAUACGUCUUCGUCCUUCUUCCUUUCACCUCUUCUUCGACUCUAUUAAAAACUCGAGCUCUCCCUCAUUCAUAACUAGCUCUUCUUAAAACCCAAAAAAAAAAUUCGAUCUUUAGGGUUUUGCUUCGAUCCCGCUUAGUUAGCUUCGGCGUUUCAAAUUCUCGAGUAAAGGUACGGGUUUUGUCCUCAAUUUAGAUGAUCGGGUGUUUGAAUCUAGCAGAAUCUGAGUAUUCUCUGUAGCUGAAUUGCUCGAAUUGCUGUGAAAUUAGGGAUUUUUAUUGAAUCCAGAGCUCUAGAUUUGACUUGUUUCAGCUGAUUUUGGGAAAGUAUCGAUUUUUUUGUGUGUUGGUGAGGUCAAUCGAAGAGAAAAGGUUGAUUUUGUUUUAGUAAUGGAGGACGGCGAGCUUGAAUUCUCGAAUCAGGAAGUGUUUUCGAGUUCGGAUAUGGGUGAGUUACCACCUAGCAACUGUUCGAUGGAUAGUUUCUUUGAUGGGCUUUUGAUGGAUACUACUAAUGCUAAUGCUGCUUGUACCCACACUCACACCUGUAACCCCACGGGACCAGAGAAUACUCAUACCCACACGUGUUUCCAUGUCCACACCAAGAUUCUUCCUGACGAGAGCGAUGAAAAAGUUUCCACUGAUGAUACAGCUGAGUCUUGUGGGAAGAAGGGUGAAAAGAGACCUCUGGGAAACCGAGAAGCGGUUAGGAAGUAUAGAGAGAAGAAGAAGGCUAAAGCUGCUUCCUUGGAGGACGAGGUCGCAAGGCUUAGGGCGGUGAAUCAGCAGCUGGUGAAGAGGUUGCAAAAUCAGGCUACCUUGGAAGCUGAGGUCUCCAGGCUCAAGUGUUUGCUUGUUGAUUUAAGAGGAAGGAUUGAUGGGGAGAUUGGAUCUUUUCCUUAUCAAAAGCCUAUGUCUGCAAAUAUUCCUUCUUUCUCCCACAUGAUGAAUCCGUGUAAUGUACAAUGCGAUGAUGAAGUUUACUGCCCUCAGAAUGGGUUUGGUGGGAAUACCCAAGAAGGUGCAUCGAUCAAUGACCAAGGACUGGGUGGUUGUGAUUUUGAUCAGCUACAAUGCUUGGCUAAUCAGAACUUAGGUGCAAAUGUUAACGGAUCAUUCAACAAUGCCAAUGCAUCUGUCUCGAAUAAGAGAAAAGGUGGACAUCGCGCAUCAAGAGCUGUUUGAAGUACCAUCAAGCUUGUACCAUCUAUUUCCACCAGCAUAGAUAUUGUAUUCCAAAUAAGUUAUAGAGUUUAGCUGCAGCAUCAGCUCCGCUCAGCUUUAAGGAGUUGGUGGGGAGUGUCUUUGUGGCCCGAGUGAGAUCUCUGGACAGUACCCAGGUUUGGUAGUAAAGGCAGGAUUUUGAUUUCCCGUUAAGCAUCAUGUUGUUUGGUAAAGAACAAGGUAUGCCAUGAAGCAGAAUGUUUUGUACUUCGAGCUUGAGGGGCUCUCUCAGUGUCUCUACCUAAUUGCAACAUUGCAUUGUUCUUCCAGUUGUGAUCCCAAGUUGCUUAGCAAACCACUCCCAAGUUGCUUAGCAAACCCUUUUGUGGUUGACUUCAAUGGGGUUUUUAAUUUUUAACUUUCACUUGAACUAAUCUCAGGAUCAGGCUUUGCAACAGGAUUUAUUGUAAAACUCAAGAAUCAUAGCAGAUGUCCUGGAAAAACGAUUAUUUCGUCCUUA